UCCAGUUGAUCCUGCUGGAGGGUACUGCUAUCGGAGUUCGACUAAGCCAUGCAAGUCUAACCCUAGGACUUCCUGGGGUGGCAGACUGCUGAGUAACACGUAGUCAAUCUACCCUAUAGACGGGGAUAACCUCGAGAAAUUGAGGACAAUACCCGAUAUUCCUCUUAUGCUGGAAUGCUUAGAGGUUUAAAUGGGCGGUGAAUUGGAGCCGUUCCGCUGUAGGACGAGACUGCGGGGGAUUAUGGUUGUUGGUAGGGUAAUGGCUUACCAAGCCGAUAAUCUCUAGGGGCCAUGAGAGUGGUGGCCCCCAGAAGGACACUGAGACAAGGGUCCUAGCCCUACGGGGUGCAGCAGGCGCGAAACCUCUACAAUGCUGGAAACAGUGAUAGGGGGACUCCGAGUGGCGUCGGCUAAGCUGGCGUCUUUUGCCAAGUGUAAAUAGCUUGGAGAAUAAGGGUGUGGGCAAGACUGGUGGCAGCCGCCGCGGUAACACCAGCGCCUCAAGUGGUACCCACGAAUACUGGGCCUAGAGCGUUCGUAGCCGGCCAAAUAAGUCUUCUGUGAAAUAGUAUGGCUUAACCAUACUGCGCGCAGGAGAUACUGUUUGACUUGGGAACGGGGGAGGUCAGGAGUACGCCCGGGGUAGGGGUAAAAUCCUUUGAGCCUGGGCGGACUACCAGUGGCGAAGGCGCCUGACCAAAACGUGUCCGACGGUGAGGAACGAAAGCUGGGGGAGCGAACGGGAUUAGAUACCCCGGUAGUCCCAGCCGUAAAUGAUGCAGACUGUGGUGUUGCUUCAGAGUUAAUCUGCAGCAGUGCUGUAGCGUAGGUGUUAAGUCUGCCGCCUGGGGAGUACGGCCGCAAGGUUGAAACUUAAAGGAAUUGGCGGGGGAGCACCACAAGGGGUGGAUGCUACGGUUUAAUUGGAUACAACGCCGUGAACUUCACCAAGGGCGACGGCAGAAUGAAGGUCAGACUAAAGAUCUUACCUAACGAGCCGAGAGGUGUUGCAUGGCCAUCGUCAGCUCGUGGCGUGAGUUGUCAGGUUAAGUCCUGCAACGAGCGAGACCCAUACCAUUAAUUGCUACUUUUACCUUUAGUAAGAGGCACCUUAAUGGGACUGCCCGCGUUAAGUGGGAGGAAGGAGUGGGCGACGGUAGGUCAGUAUGGCCCGAAUCCCUUGGGCUACACGCGGCAUACAAUGGCUGGAACAAUGGGUUGCUACUCCGAAAGGAGACGCUAAUCCCCUAAAUCCAGUCUUAGUUCGGAUUGAGGGUUGAAACUCACCCUCAUGAAGCUGGAAUCCCUAGUAAUCGCGUGUCAUCAUCGCGCGGUGAAUACGUCCCCGCUCCUUGCACACACCGCCCGUCAAGUCACCCAAAUGUGGUGUAGGUGAGGCUCCGGUUUCUGCCGGAUUCGAACCUAUGUUGCGUGAGGGGGGCUAAGUCGUAACAAGGUA
rnacentral:rRNA from 1 species